rnacentral:rRNA from 1 species
AUGCCAUGCUUCCAGGAAAAGCCUCUAAGCUCCAGGUAACACGAAAUCGUACCCCAAACCGACACAGGUGGUCAGGUAGAGAAUACUCAGGCGCUUGAGAGAACUCGGGUGAAGGAACUAGGCAAAAUGGUGCCGUAACUUCGGGAGAAGGCACGCUGGCGCGUAGGUGAAGGGACUUGCUCCCGGAGCUGAAGCCAGUCGAAGAUACCAGCUGGCUGCAACUGUUUAAUAAAAACACAGCACUGUGCAAACACGAAAGUGGACGUAUACGGUGUGACGCCUGCCCGGUGCCGGAAGGUUAAUUGAUGGGGUCAGCCGCAAGGCGAAGCUCUUGAUCGAAGCCCCGGUAAACGGCGGCCGUAACUAUAACGGUCCUAAGGUAGCGAAAUUCCUUGUCGGGUAAGUUCCGACCUGCACGAAUGGCGUAAUGAUGGCCAGGCUGUCUCCACCCGAGACUCAGUGAAAUUGAACUCGCUGUGAAGAUGCAGUGUACCCGCGGCAAGACGGAAAGACCCCGUGAACCUUUACUAUAGCUUGACACUGAACAUUGAGCCUUGAUGUGUAGGAUAGGUGGGAGGCUUUGAAGCGUGGACGCCAGUCUGCGUGGAGCCAACCUUGAAAUACCACCCUUUAAUGUUUGAUGUUCUAACUCGGCCCCGUGAUCCGGGGUGAGGACAGUGUCUGGUGGGUAGUUUGACUGGGGCGGUCUCCUCCUAAAGAGUAACGGAGGAGCACGAAGGUUAGCUAAUCACGGUCGGACAUCGUGAGGUUAGUGCAAUGGCAUAAGCUAGCUUGACUGCGAGAGUGACGGCUCGAGCAGGUACGAAAGUAGGUCAUAGUGAUCCGGUGGUUCUGAAUGGAAGGGCCAUCGCUCAACGGAUAAAAGGUACUCCGGGGAUAACAGGCUGAUACCGCCCAAGAGUUCAUAUCGACGGCGGUGUUUGGCACCUCGAUGUCGGCUCAUCACAUCCUGGGGCUGAAGUAGGUCCCAAGGGUAUGGCUGUUCGCCAUUUAAAGUGGUACGCGAGCUGGGUUUAGAACGUCGUGAGACAGUUCGGUCCCUAUCUGCCGUGGGCGUUGGAAGAUUGAGAGGGGCUGCUCCUAGUACGAGAGGACCGGAGUGGACGCAUCACUGGUGUUCGGGUUGUCAUGCCAAUGGCAUUGCCCGGUAGCUAAAUGCGGAAAAGAUAAGCGCUGAAAGCAUCUAAGCGCGAAACUUGCCUCGAGAUGAGUCUUCCCUGUGGCUUUAAGCCACCUGAAGGGACGUUUAAGACUAAGACGUUGAUAGGCUGGGUGUGUAAGUGCAGCGAUGCAUUGAGCUAACCAGUACUAAUGACCCGAGAGGCUUAACCUU